rnacentral:misc_RNA from 1 species
UGUCUUAUAAUCAUGAUCUUCAUAGGUUUUUUUUUUUUCAUUCCAAAGACAUAUAAUAGAGAUUUGCUAAUACAUUGAUGAGUGAUGUAUUAUUAUUCACAAAACUGAAAGGUCAUCCACUUCUUCACCCUUUCAUCUUUCAGACCUAAAUAUUUAUUAUCUUCAACAAUAGUAAUUAUCUGAAGUUGAUUAUAAGAGCCCCGUUUUCUUUCAUGUAACGUGGAGAAAGUUGUGAAUUGAUUAUUUGUCAGUCAUUGUAAUAACAUGCAAUUUUGUCGACAUGAAAAUAAACGGUAAAUCAU